GACGAACGCUGGCGGCGUGCUUAACACAUGCAAGUCGAACGGAAAGGCCUCUUUCGGGGGGUACUCGAGUGGCGAACGGGUGAGUAACACGUGAGUAACCUGCCCUUGACUUUGGGAUAACUUCAGGAAACUGGGGCUAAUACCGGAUAGGAGCUCCUGCUGCAUGGUGGGGGUUGGAAAGUUUCGGCGGUUGGGGAUGGACUCGCGGCUUAUCAGCUUGUUGGUGGGGUAGUGGCUUACCAAGGCUUUGACGGGUAGCCGGCCUGAGAGGGUGACCGGCCAUGGUGGGACGAAUAUACGGCGCGGACUCCGAGGGGGGGAGGCUGGGGGGAUUUUUGAACAAGGGGUGGAAGCUUGAUACAGAAGCGCCGUGGGGGGGAGGGCGGCUUUGGGGUGGAAAACCGUUUUCCCCCGUGACGAAGUUUUGUGUGAGGUUGGGGGGUAAAAAAGCCCCGGCAAGCUACGUC
rnacentral:rRNA from 1 species